rnacentral:lncRNA from 1 species
AAGAAUAUAACUGUGCAGUAUGUGAGGCAAUUUUAGUUGCGGCAAAUCAAUCAAUACCAAAGAAGAGAGGAGGAAAGAGAAAGAAAAUAGUGCUAUGGUGGACUAAAGAAUGUGAAAAUGUAAUUAAAUCCUGGAAUAAAGCAUUUAAAAUAUUAAAAAGAACACAUAACUUCCAGAACCUUUUGAAUCUAAAAAGUUACAGGUGAAGGAGAGAAGAACAAUUAAAAAUACAAAGAAGCUUUUUUGGAGGAAGUUUUGUUGUUCAGUAGGGAGAGAUACAGAAACUGAGAAAGUAUCGGGAAUGAUAAAAAGAAUGAAUGGAAUGAAAAGGGAAUUUGGAUAUCCGGUACUAAAGGUUAAUGAGAAGAAUGCGGCAACAGAGGAAGAUAAAGCAGAAGUACUGGCCAAGACUUUUGUUAAUGUACAUAGCAUCAGUAAUAUCAGUGAAGAUGUGGUGAGACGCCUCCUCAUCUUGUUUUAUUUUGGCUGGACUUCCUUUGUUUCCCUGUUUGCCUGGUUUGGCUUUACUCUUUUCCAGGGCUUCCUCCCCUCCCCCGGCGCUGAGACUGACUGAGACUACAAACCUGCUCCACAGCUCCAAUCAAGGCACUUUAAGAAGCCUGCAGCCCUCAGUCUCAGCGCCUGAGUAUUGUCUACCCUCCUAGCGGUAACAACGCGUCUCCUGGCCAACCUCGUUUGUAUAAUCAUCAAAACUUUGCUCCUCGUGAUUCUGUGCAUGUACAAUAACUUCCAUCUCCUCUGGUUUUUCCUGCAGUGUCUACAGCCCACACGACAGCCAGCCUACCGGACAUCCUCUGUUGCAUUAUCUACCCCUUCUGUUUGGACAUUAAAAUUCUCUUUAAGUGGUCUCAGUCUCAUAAGCUACGUUUACAUGGAGCCAAAUAUUCCGAAUAUAAUCGGAUUAGAAGCCCAAUCGGAAUGAAAAUGCUCCAUAUAAACACCUCAUUCGGAAUAAACAGGCCCAUUCCGAAUGGAAUUUUAUUCCGAUUCACAGGGGUAGAAUAUUCCUUUUCCCAUUCCGAUUAAAAGCAAAAUCCUGUCAUGUAAACGGUGAAUCGGAAA